rnacentral:misc_RNA from 1 species
CUGCAAUUUGAACAUAGAAAGGAAUUCUAAUCAGGAACAUGGUAAUUAAGUUCAGCUUGGUAGUUUAAAUGAGUGCAGGAUGCAUACUUUUGGUGAAUUUCUCACUAUGAAUUCACUUGCUUUUGUAUCCUUCAAAAUGCCCAUCAUGUUCAACUGAUCUGAACCCACUUCAAUCUCUUGUUGCAAGCUUUGGAUUCUCUCCAGUAGCUCCUUCACGUAAUCUAUUGUGUCUCCCAGUAUUGAUGUUCUGUCCAUCUUGCUUAUCUUAGGAACAAUUGAUCUUAGCAUCGAAAGCCGAUCAUUUAACCUCUUUCUUCUUCUUCUCUCCGCCAUUAGGUUCUUUGAUGGCUGCCCCUCCAACUUCUUACCUCUCAUCUUUCUUUCUGGGCAAGAACCAAUAUUGAACACUGGUAUUUGUGGAGACUGAAUUCGCUCAACUUUGCAAGUAUCCUGCAUAUCCAAACUGUGGACAUGAUUCGGAAGCAGACCCAGGUCCUGGUCAUCCUCCAUUGUGGUAGAAAUUGGAGUAUCUUCUUGAACAGGAAACGGCAGCGUGUCAAGAGUGUUAUACGAAGAAUCAGUAAACUGUGGAGCUGAGAACUCAUCUGUGAAUGAAGGAGUCGAGAAUUCAUCGCCAAAAGGGCAGGAAACUUCAUUAAAGUAGUAAUUGUUGAAGUCUUGAUCAAGAGGAGAAGAGAAUUCUUCAUGGAAAGUAUUGGGAGGGAGUGUGGCUGCAAGAUUAUCAUCAAAGCAAUCAAAGUUUAACCCACUAGAGAAAAGCUCACUCAUUUCUGAAGGAAAACUUGGCAUAGUUUCCCAAGUGUCUCUUCUGAAAGCUAGCAGCUCCUCCAAGAAGCCCUGUUGAUUAAGCUCCAUUUUUCUCACUUUUUCUAACCCUCACUUUUUCUCUUGGGAAACGAUAAUACCUUGAUAAUUAGAAGCUGCACAAAGUUGGGAAUAUAUAGGUACACACGUAAAAGGGUUUCUACUUGAAUAUAUAAAUAUGGAUUAUGGUAUGCAUUAUGUUGUAUUUAUUAGCAUUUUAGAGCCUAAGAUUGAAAUGGAAUCUGCUUCAUUUUCUUUUCCUUUUCUUCUCUCUCUUUUUAUUUUCUCAUGUCUUUUUCACCGAAAUCUCUGCAAUCAAACAAACUGAAUAUAAAAUUUCUAUUUCCCUGAAAACUUUGACCCUCCACAUCUGUCCGAACCGAAAAGGAUGAAGUUGGCAUCACAGACGACCCUGACAGGUUCUUUGUAUGGUUAAGCAUUGUAAUAUUAUUUCCAUAUGAACAGAAAUGAUAAAACACAAACACAAACGCAAAG